rnacentral:lncRNA from 1 species
AUGGGGGACACAACUACGAUACAGGAGCUCUCGCCCGGCUGGAACCAGGAGCCUCCAACGCCACCUUCGUCUACACCUCUAAUAGCUGAUUGCAUCUCACCCAGCAGCCACACCUUUUUUUACCCCCCUACUCUUGAACAGAUGGCGCGCACCUCCCCCGGCGACACAGGUGGCUUGAAUGAUUUGCAGGACACGACUGCAGACCCAAUCUCGGUCCAGGAGGUGGAGGCGGCAUUGAACAGCCUCCAGGUGCACCUCCAGCAAAUCACCCACGAGCUGCCACUGCCGCUGUCACCUUCAGCCGACAGGGACCACUGCCCCUCUAAUAAUGCACAUAUCGAGCAGGUGCUGAAGCAGCAAGAUGGAGCAGCAACAAGCACUGCAAACGUCAGCAGCAUGACCGGGCCAACCUCUGCGGUCAGCGCCUUCUUCACCAAGCUGGCACAGGUGCUUCAGCUCCAGGCAACGGAGGCAGGCAAGGAGGACCAGACGCAGCACCAGCAGGGCAAGGCGCCCAAGCCGCGACGACCAAAACGCGUUUUUGACAUGUCGACGGUACGCCGCAGUGCAAGACUUUCAAAUCGUAGGCCGAUGCCGGCAGUUCAAAGAGCGCAACAUAACCUCUGUCGCAAAUUAGGUCUACUCACUGAUGAUCUACAGCCCAUCGAGGUUGCUUUGCAGGAGUACUUGUCUAUGUUCCAGGUUCCGGUGCCUCAAGAUGUUAUUGCGGCGUUGACGGCGGCUUUCAACCUUGAUGACCCUACUGCUCAAGAGCUCGAUGAAGCAAUGGCCAGGGUGGCCGGCGAAGCCAUUGAAGACUUUCAGGGGGACAUAGCUCAGGAGGGAGAAGGGGAAGACGCCAACAACAUCCACGGAGGGGCCUUUGCUGCAGCGACUGCAGCUACGCAGGCCAUCAUCUGAUCCAAACGCAGCAACCACAUAGAGUCUUGCUACUUAUCAUGUUAACUACAACAUCUGCAAUCACUAAUUUCUGCAGCUCAAUCAUCGUAUCAGUUAUGCUACAGUUCAGCUCGAAUGUAAUCUUGCCACCUGAACAAUGCUAUGGUGUUUUACUUAUUUGUGCAAUUCGUCCCCUUCGUGUGUUGACCAAGAGAAGUAUGUCUGUGCUGCCUGCUGGCUGCUGCCUGCUGCUUGUAUGCAACAAUGCUAUGAUGUUGAUCUGGUGCAUUAUCUGCCUUAUGCUUCCUGCUUGGACGUGGUGUUUCUCUGUAGCUGGUGCUCAGUGUCACGAGCAAUGGUAGCAUGUCAACUCUAGUGGGCACUGCAUAUACUAAGAGUGGGUGGGUGCUGCAAUGCUUGUGCACGUACCGCCUCAUGGAGUGGGUAUGCGUUGCUCCCUGGGACAAGCUGACCAGGGACAAGCGUUUCACAAAUCCCUCAUGAAUCUUGAAAUCCUGUGCUGGAACAUGAGAGACCUAAACCAGAGAGCGAGAAGAGAUACAGUACGGGAGACCAUUUCAUCAACCCUUUGCCACAUCGCAUGCCUUCAGGAAACCAAGUUAAGUAAUAUUGACCAAUUCACGGCAAGUUAUUUAGGAGGCUCCAGGCUUGACAGCCACUCAUACAAGCCGGCUGGGGGACCUAAUGGAACCAGGGAUGGCAUCCUACUGUUAUGGAACAGCUCCCACGUUGCGCUCACAGACAUUGUGCUAGGAACUUAUCACAUAACAGCAACAGUAGCAAUGCAGGAAACGGAGAAUUCGUUCACGCUCACCGUGGUUUACGGGCCAACACAAUCCAAUGAAAAACCCCAGUUCCUAGUAGAAAUACAAGCACAACGACCUCAACGCAGCUCUCAAUGGUUAGUCCUAGGCGACUUCAACAUUAUUUACAAAGCAAGCGACAAAAAUAAUAACAAGAUAAACCUGAGGCUUAUGAAUUUAUUCAAACAAGCACUAGAUGACACCGAUCUACGCAAGAUACAUCUUCAAAAUAGGCAAUUCACUUGGAGCAACGAGAGGCAAAGCCCGACACUUGUUAGACUGGACAGAGUUUUUGCAAAUGCGGAAUGGGAAAACGCAUUCAACACACACAUUCUACACGCUCUUUCAACUUCCCUAUCCGACCAUUGUCCUAUCUUGCUCUCCAAUCAGAGUGGCCCCAGACGCCCUAGAUCCUUCAAGUUUGAGAACUUUUGGACAAUGCUCCCGGGGUUUACGGAAACUGUAGCACGUGCGUGGACCACACACUCGCCACAUCACGAGCCUUUUCACAAGCUCUUUCACAAGCUCCACACCACAGCUGUCGCACUAAGAGAGUGGAGCGGACGCCUCAUACCGGAUGCGAGAAUGCAGUUGCAUAUGGCCUUGGAUGUGAUUCUACGGUUCGACAUAGCGCAAGAGCACCGGCAACUUACAGAGGCUGAGCGAACCCUGCGGAGCAGACUAAAGCUAAGGGUCAUGGGGCUAGCCAUAAUUGAGCGCGCGCGCAAAAAUCAAGCAACCAGAAGCUCAAACCUUAAACUCGGAGACGCUAAUACGUGUUUUUUUCACCGGCGAGUAAACUCCAGGAAGCGCAAAAAUUACAUACCGAAGCUUAAAAGAGAAAAUGGCUGGGAGUGCACACACGAAGAAAAAGCGGCCGACAUACAAGAUUUUUUUACGGCAGCCAUGCAGCAGCCCCAACCACGCAUAGUGGACCUCAAUUGGGACCUUCUUCGCCUCAACCAGCAUGAUCUGUCAUUUCUAAACUCACCAUUCUCCGAAGAGGAAAUCAAGCAAUCAAUCCUUAGCAUGCCAGGGGAUAAAGCCCCUGGUCCGGACGGGUUUACGGGGUUAUUCCUAAAAUCAUGCUGGAGCACCAUAAAACAGGAUGUAAUGGCAGCAGUAAACACGUUCUACGGUCUCCGAUGCAACAGCCUCCAGCUAAUUAACACAGCUACCAUCAUACUCAUCCCGAAGAAAGAGGGGGCGAACACCGUGCAGGACUUCAGGCCUAUAAGCCUCAUUCACUCGUUCAUCAAGAUCAUCACGAAGGCUAUGGCACUGAGAUUACAACCCCACAUGAAUGCAAUUGUCUCCAAAUGCCAAAGCGCAUUUAUUAAGACGCGGAAUAUCCAUGACAACUUUAUGACAGUGCGAAGUACGGCAAGAAGAUAUCGCAGAAACAAAGUGCCGGCUAUUUUCCUCAAAUUGGACAUCGCUAAAGCCUUCGACUCCAUACGAUGGGACUACCUUCUCCUACUUCUGCGUCACUUGGGAUUCCCCGCGCACUGGUGCGAUUGGACUGCAGCCAUUCUGUCUACUUCUUCCUCACGCGUCCUCCUAAAUGGAGUCCCGAACCCACCAAUAAAACAUGGCCGUGGGUUGAGGCAAGGUGACCCAUUAUCACUGCUGCUAUUCGUUAUAGCGAUCGAUCCCCUACAAAGAAUCCUGCAAUUAGCGACAGAUAUGAACAUCCUUACCAGACUACGCGAAAGGGCGCCCACAUGCCGUAUUUCAAUGUACGCGGACGAUGCGGCAUUAUUCAUAGCACCAAGAAAAGAGGAAAUUGAUGCACUAACUAACAUCUUGGAAAAUUUCGGGGAAGCAACAGGUCUCAAAACAAACUUCCGCAAAUCGACUAUCGUCCCUAUCUGUUGCGAAGGCAUGCAAUUGGACGUGGUACUGGAAAAUCUACCGAUGAGAAGGGGAGCCUUCCCAAUCAAAUACCUUGGGCUACCACUAUCCACACUGAGACUGAAAGCUGUAGAUUUCCAACCCUUGUUAGACAAGGUCGUGGCCAAGUUAAAUAGUUGGAGUGGUAGAAACAUGACGACAGUUGGCAGACUCACUUUGGUCAAAUCGGUACUAACUACUCAACCGGUUUACUUACUGUCGGCCCUCAAAGCGCCCAAAGAGAUAUUGAAGAUUAUCGAUGCUAAGCGAAGGAAAUUCCUAUGGGCGGAGUUGGAGCUGCUCACAGGCGGGAAAUGCAAAGUGAAUUGGACACGAUCUGCAUGGCCUAGGAGGGGAGGAGGACUAGGUGUGUUGCACCUCGGAAAAUUCUCCAGGACUUGCGGUUACAGUGGCUCUGGCAGGACUGGAUGAAUGAUGGACCUUCCUGGGAGAGCCAGGACAUCCCUUGCUCCCAAACGGACCGCAAACUCUUUGCGGCGGCAACCAAGAUCACAGUGGGAGAUGGCAACAAGACUUCCUUCUGGGACAGUGGCUGGGUAAGUGGACAAAGGCCAAGGGACAUUGCGCCAAAUCUAUAUCAUAUCUCUAGAAGGAAGAACAGGACACUAUAUGAUGCAGUCACAAAUCGCACGUGGAUAAGAGAUUUAAACCUUCUUCAUCAAGGAUUUACCGCCACAUAUUUCAUUGAGUACUACCGACUAUGGGUUGAGACCAACCGCUUGCACCUUACGCCAGGCAUCCCGGACACCAUCACAUGGAAAUUCACGCCAAAUGGGAAAUAUAGCACACAAUCGGCAUAUAGAGUACAAUUCAUAGGAUCCAUGACAACUAAUCUCGAGAACCUAAUCUGGAAAACAUGGGUGCCACCAAAGUGCAAAUUCUUCAGCUGGUUGGCCGUGCAAGAUAGAAUUUGGACAGCGGACAGACUCCAGCGUCGGGGAUGGACCAGUAACCCAACCUGCCCCCUUUGCAGCACAGCGCAGGAGAUAGGGUAUCACCUUUUCGCCGACUGCAGUUUCACACGGCUAAUUUGGAUGAAAAUUCACACAUGGACGCAAUGCCCUAAUGUUGAUCCAAGCCGCUGGGAUAGGCACGACUCCAUACAUAAUUGGUGGACAUCGCUGGCUAGCCCGGUGGCCGAGGGGAACGGGGGGAAAGGGUUGCAGACCCUCAUUAUCCUUGUUCUUUGGGAGAUCUGGCUAGAGAGAAAUCGGAGGAUCUUCCAACACAAAGAUAAGACGGUUACCCAGAUAACCGACGGCAUCAAGAACCAAGCUGCGAUGUGGGUCGCUGCGGGAGCUAAACACUUGGGGGACUUUCUCUCAGGUUGAGUGUUCCAUUUUGUACUAGUUGUCAUAGCGGAGUUUUGCCUCCCCGUUUCAGGGAUGCGAGUGUACAGCUUGUAUAGUAUGUUUGUAUACGGCCUGUCGGGCUUUUCCUCUCUUUUAAUAUAGCAGCAGCUCUCCUACUGGCUCGUUUCAAAAAAAAAAAGCCUUAACUUCGCAAGUUGUACACCAACAACGAGGAGAAUGGAAUCCCUUAACCUCGCAUGUUCAGUAGAAAUACGAAGACGCUUCUUAGAAUAAGUUUCAAACCCUCGUAUGGUCUCAAAUCCGUGGAAGGCUUCGAGGGUAACGAAUGACGACAAUAACAGCUAAUUCUCAUUAAACUAACCCUCGAGUGUUGGGAUUAAUUCCAAACACCGGUCUAUUUCCUUUUUAUUUCCUACUUAGGAAUGGGCUCAAAGUGGAGUUGCUUGAGGUUAAGGUUUUUCAUCAAGGCAUUACGAUGCUGGUACCUCGAGGGUAGGCGUUUGGCUCAAGAUACUGGUGAAGUCCCAAGGCUAGUAGGCAGGUGGCGUGAGAAAUGUGAACACGUGGAGAAGUUUAAUUUGUACACAUGUUCCUUAACAACCUUUAUGUACGGCAUAUUUCAGGAAUAUAGUGGUUGAAUAAGGGUACUUUAGGAAUGUAAAUUAGGCUAAGAGUCAAUAUUAAAGGGGAGUCCUACCCUAUUGUAAAGAGAGAUCACUUUUUCAAUUGAAAAUUGAAAGAGAGCAUUGUUUUCAUUGUAACCCUAAAUCUGUUCCGUAUCAAAUUCGUUUGAGACCAACAGAGGGUGGCUUCUUUUUUUUCCCUAGAAAAAGCACCGCCCAAUUAGUACAACAGAAAUUACAAAAUGAUAUGCCUACCAUGGUCCUCACUCCUCAUCAUGAAACUUCAGACUUCAGAGGGACUCCCUGGUCAGGGAAAGAUAUUUCAAUAAUUUACUCGCAAAAGUUAUCUUAAAAGCUUUUACGUAAAAGAUAUUUUAACACUUUUAGUGGAGAAGUCAUUGAAAUAUUUUUAGAGAAAAUUAGUUUAUAACUUUGGUUGAAAUUUAUUUUUAAAAAUUUUACAAUAAAAGUUAUUUAAGUAAAUUUUUAAAAAAUGCAAUAGUGAUGUUUUCAGAAAAUAGUAUUCAAAAAGGUUUGCAAAAAAUAUUAUAUUAUAAUAUUUUUCAUAUAAAAGGUUUCCUAUAAGCUUUAAACUGACAGAUUUAUCAAGUAAUUUUUAGACUUUUUAGAAAAUAUUUCAAAUAACAUUUUACAUUAUGAAAAGGAAGGGAAAUAGGAAAAGAUAAAGAGGGCAAUAACUUGGUGGCGACUUGGGUAAUACUAGGGGAUUGUGCUUGCUCAUAAGAAAGUUUUGCUUAUCAAAGUUUAAAAAACAAUGUAUACUAAUGUAGUUUAAAAUUUUCUCACCAAGACUUUUUUUAAUUGGUUAGUUAGAUUUAAAACUUUGCCUACAUUUGAAGAGGGGCCGCAACGAGGAUGAUGGGCCCUAUAUUGCAAACGACGAGUAUAUUGCAAACGACGAGGAAGUGGGCAGUAGGUAGGUGAACUGUGAAGAAAGAAAAUAGAAUGGGAAGUUGAAAACCACUGGGUUAUAAGGUGAAAAACUCAUAAAUACUUUCCUACAGAUUGAUGUAUGAACGCAGCCCACAAUUGGCAAAUACUUAUCUGAAUAUUUUGAUGGUGCCAACUUAAUACUUAACUUAUUAGCCUUGGCUAGUAUAUAUUUGCUUUCCAACAAUAUGCAUCUGCACUAAGAUUCUGUUUCCAGCAACAUUUUAAGGUCCAUUAAUUAUUCAAUCUCUUGCCAAAUUGCCGAAUAAGUUAUACGAGAAGAAAUUGAUGGUGGUGUGUGUCAAUGGUGAAUUCCGGCGCACGCGCACACUAGUGGAGUGGCUAUGGCGUCGGCACGCAUCUCUGGUGCUGGAAUUUGAUAUCAAAUCUCACCCGGUCAUACAUUUUUGCCGUUCAUAUUUUGAAUUCAGAGUACUAUAUCUUGAGGAUAAAUGUAGUAGACGACACGCCGAAAUCCACAAUCUCCCAAUGGCAAAAUACUUGGUGGAAUGCAUGCAUCAUCCCAUGAACAAUCUCCUGCACUGUAUGACACAGAAAUGCAGUAGAUUUUGUGCCAUGGUUAUAUCCAUCUUACAGAUAUACACAAUCUUCAGCAAUAAAUUGCUCUAAUUUGAAUUCAUCAACAGCGUUUAAUUAAUGCUAAAUCUUCCCUUGCCAUCACAUUCGUAAUCGUGUCAAAAACAUAUUUGGCUACGCGUUCCGGUCAAAAUCAGUAGGAUUUCAUCUGCUCACAGCAUUUAUAAGAGUUUGCCAAGUGCUUGCACAGUAUACGCCACUGGCUGCCCUAUAAAGAGCAGGCUCCGGCCAAAGCCGAAACCAUAGGCCAUAGUAUACCACAGUCCAAAACCUUGUUGGAUUAGUAGUAGUGGUUUACAUGGAUACAAGUGCGUCGCCGUCGUCGUCUCGCUUUGCGGCAGCCGCCGUCGUGGUGGUGGCGGCGGCGCUGCUGCUGCUGCUGCCGGCCUUGUCGGCCGCCGACGACUGGGAGGACGCGCACGCCACGUUCUACGGCGACGAGACCGGUGGCGAGACCAUGCGUAAGAAAUAAGAAUACACUCCACUAUCUUGGUUUAUUUGUCGUUUGUUCUCGCACGCACGUGCGUCAUAGUGUGUGGCUUUCGAUCGUGCACGCAGAGGGCGCGUGCGGGUACGGCAACCUGUUCGAGCAGGGGUACGGGCUGGAGACGACGGCGCUGAGCGUGGCGCUCUUCGGCGAGGGCAGGGCCUGCGGCGGCUGCUACGAGCUCCGGUGCCAGGGCAGCUCCUACUGCGCCCCCGGCGGCGCGCCGGUGACGGUGACGGCGACGAACCUGUGCCCGGCGAACUACUCCAAGCCCAACGAGAACUGGUGCAACCCGCCGCUGCGGCACUUCGACCUGUCCAAGCCCAUGUUCCUGCGCCUCGUCACCGACUUCCACGUCGGCAUCAUCCCCGUGCAGUACCGCCGCGUGCCCUGCGCCAAGCGCGGCGGCGUGCGCUUCGAGAUGAAGGGCAACCAGUGGUGGGUCGCCGUGCUCGUCUUCAACGUCGCCGGCGCCGGGGACGUCAAGGCCAUGGCCGUCAGGGGGUCAUGGGACGGGCAGUGGGCGGACAUGUCGCGGAACUGGGGGCAGAUCUGGACCAGCGGCGACAGCCGCCACGUCGGGCAGGGCCUCUCAUUCCGCGUCGUUGCUGGCGACGGCAGGUCAGUGGAGCUGGACAACGUCGUGCCGCAGGGGUGGGCGUUCGGCCAGAGCUUCGAGGGCAGGGGUCAGUUUUGAUUUUUUUUUCCCUGAACUUCUAUCGAUCACUCCCAUGGUCCACAGUGUAGGGCAACGUACAACUGCCAGUGUCUAUCCGCGCACGCAUGAUGUAGCAUGUGUAUAUGGACCAGUGGUUGUUCAAAUUGCAGAAAUGUUUUUUUAUCAAAUCCUGUGAUUUGGUUAAUCAAUGAAAAAUCUGAAAAGAUUGUCUCGAAUGGAUGCAUUUGAUGACCGGCAUAAUUACAUUGGGGAUUUGCAAAUCUCAAUUAAUUGAAAAUGCCAACAAAGAAAAUCAAUGCUCAAGUUAUAACUUGCUUUUGUUCGUUAAAAAAAAACAAUAACCUGGCAUUUUGACCCACCAAAAAUUUGAAACGGGCUUUUACUCUUCCAUAAUAGUAUGAUUAGUCGAAAUGCGCCCCUGAACAAAAUAAGAGAAGAGGGACAAACAUUGCAUAAGACUUUUUUUUUAGGUCGAGAUCAGAGGCAUCCGUAGGUAGCAGAGAUUUCCACCCAAGCGGAGUACUCCCUCCUUAUGCAAUGUUUGUCCAUAGCACACAAUGUACAUGAACAUUAAGAAAAAGUCAAUGUAAAAUGACCACCCAUGUCUAUUAAAUAUCAUAAGACAACAAUUUCUCUUGUAGCUCUAAAACAUCAUAAAAUGUUUCUCUCCUAAAUCAUUGCGUAAUGAAGGGAGUAUAUUAUAGUCUCGCCGUGACCGGAAUAAGCAAGGACGAUUUACUAUGUUUUUGUUUAUAAAAGCAAUAAGUAGAGAAGCGAUUUAUUGCAGAAAUAAGAAAUAAGACUAUUUUUUACUGUGCGUAUUGCGCUUAUCUUCUCCUUUUGGUCGAGAGGAGAGCAAAACAACAGAGACCACCAAAGCUCGAAUCCAUUUAUAGCAAUUGUACAUGACCUUGGUCGUUGAACAAACUGGCCAGCGAGCUUCAUGCCGCACCGCACGUCCAUGCCCGGCUUCUUGCUCCCGCCACCAAUAAAUACAUGAAACAUCAAUCACCACACACACACAUCCAUCCCUCGCUCCGUCAAGAAACAAGCAAGGUUACGCACCCUCAUAGCUUGCUAGCUCUCCGCCAACAAUGGCCUCCAGGUCCUCCAUCCUUCUCGCCGCCGCGGUGCUGGCUGCGCUGCUGGCCGUGGGCUCAUGCGGCUCUGCGCUCACCUUUAAGACCGGGCCGGGCUGCAGCACCACCCGCCUGGUCCUCAUCCCUAGCACCACCAUCUCCGAGGUGGAGGUCAAGGAGAAGGGCGCAAGCGACUUCUCGGAGCUCAAGGAAGGACCGACUGGCACUUGGACGCUCGAUAGCAAGGCGCCGCUCAAGGGCCCCUUCUCCAUCCGCUUUGCCGCCAAGUCCGGUGGCUACCGUGUCGUUGACGACGCCAUUCCCGCUAGCUUCAAGGCCGGAUCCGUCUACAAGACCAGCCUCCAGGUCUGAGCGAUAGAUCGGACGCGCGCGUAUGGCGUCGGAUUGGAAAUUUAUAUGGACCUCUAAAUAAAAUUUUAAAAGAGAUCGGGCUCACAUGCCAGAGAGACAUUUUUUUUCUAUGGUUUGCUGAUUGGCCACUCUUAGACUACAGUGUAAGGCAAAUUGCCUAAAUGUUUUCUUUCAAAUCCUAUGAUUUGAUUAAUCAAAGUGACAAAUAAAAAGGAUUGUCUGUAUUUGAUCGAAUGACUGCAUAAUUGAGGAUUUGCAAAAUCUUGUCUCAUGGAAAUUGAUGGUGACUAAUUUUCCAACAAAAUAUGACAUGUUUUGUCUUUUUCCAACUAAAUUGAUAUUUCACUUUAUAUUCUACAAAUAUAAUUAGACAUGUUUGUUUCAAAUUCUGAAAUCACAUGUGUCAGACUCGCAAGAAGAGCAAAAGAAAAAAACUAGUAUAUAGGACAUAGAACAUGUUUCCCUUUGAUACAUGUGCUGGCGAGGGAACGAAGAUGGUUAAGGCUGCCCAGGUUGCGGUCCGUGUCCAAGGCCAAAAAAUAAUGGAGGUUUAGGAAAAUUUAGAUAAAUAUUAAAGGAGAAAACACAACAUCUCUUCAAAGAAAAAAAACGUAAGACAUAAAUCAAGGCAACGAUAUAUAAGUAGAAAACGUAACAUCUCUUCAAAGAAAAAAAAAUGCAUACUCAAGAUUCUCCGUUUUCUAUACAAACCACGGAAUAUCUCCAUUGUGAAGAUCCUAGGUGCAUCGGCCAUAUGCGGUCUUUUAGGGAAAAAAGAUUGAAAGGGUCGGCGCAUUGGACUAUUUUGAGGGUUGGAUGUUUUUUCCUCUCUUAUUGUAAGUAAACAAAUAUUUCAUUUUAUACCUACAAAUAUACUUGUUUUUUCCAAAUGCUGAGACCUCACGUUUCAGAAUCACAAAAUCCAAAUAGAAAUUUAAUAAAGAUAAAAGGAGGUAGUAUUAAGUACUGGAGGACACCAAGCUACGAUGAAGCAGGUGGUGCAGCCAGCAUAAUUUAGUCACCACACAAUAUCCUGCCUCUCUACACAAGAACUAAGAGGUUGUAGACUAUCGCUUGGUCGACUAAUAGAUAUAAGACUAUCGCCAAAGAACACCACAUAGUUUGAGGUGAACUUGCAAGUGUCCGAACAGCUAGUUCAGUCAAGAAAGACGACCAUCUAGCGGACCGAGAACUUUUUUUUGAUAAAGGGGUGACCGGGGACUUGGUACCGUGUAAUGAAGAGAGAGAAAAAUGGUGAAGGAAGAGAAACAUAGCAUACUGGUCUAGGAUUUUUGUUUUCGAGCCAAUAUGAGGAUGUCUGGAGCUCGGUGUACAUUUUCACGGAGCGGGGUACUCCCUUCAUCAUGCAAUGUUUGUCCAUAGCAUACUAAGCGCAUAGACCACACAAGCAGUUUUAAAAAAAUCCAUGUGAAAUUACCACUACAACCCUAUUAAACGUCAUAAGUCUAUAGCAUAAUAAUUUAUUUUUGAACUUUUAAUUAGGGGAAUAUUACAAUAGAUACUCCUUUGCUAUCAUCAUGGACAAACAUUGUAAAAUUAUUUUCUACCGAGAUCAUGGACAAGCGUUGCAGAAGGAACCGAGUAUAUAACAAUCUCCACAAGAGCAAAAGGUGAUUUAUUGUUUUUAGUUAGUAUAUAUAAAAAAGAAGAAGUAGAGGCUAGAGAGGCGAUGAGGACCGCAUGCCUGUUCUUUUCUUCUCUUUUCUUUUUUGAGAGGAGGGUAUAAAAAGAAGAAUAGAGAUUAGAGUGGCGAUGAGGACUGCAUGCAUUUCUGUUCUUCUCUUUUCUCUUUUUGAGAGGAGUGCAUGCCCUGCGCUUCUUCUUUUGUGUGAGACCAACACAAUCGGGACUACCAAGCUCGGAUUUUAGCAAUUGAGUACAUGUGUCGGUCGUUGAACAAGCUGACCAGCGAUGUCCGUGGCGCACCGUACGUCCAAUGCUCAGCUUCCUUCCCUCCACCACCCAUAAAUACGUACCCAGCUGCAACUCGAUCACCACACACACGCAUCCCCCCUCAAUCCAUCAAAGAAACAAGCAAGGUCACACCUCGCUACCUCGCCACAACAAUGGCCUCCAGGUCCUCCAUCCUGCUUGCUGCGGCUGCGCUGGCAGCUCUUCUAGCCAUCGGCUCAUGUGGCUCCGCGCUCACCUUUAAGACCGGCCCCGGCUGCAGCGCCACCCGCCUUGUCCUCAUCCCCAGCACCGCUAUUUCCGAGGUGGAGGUAAAGGAGAAGGGCGCCAGCGACUUCUCGGAGCUGAAGGAAGGGCCGGCCGGCACCUGGACGCUUGAAAGCAAGGCACCUCUCAAGGGCCCCUUCUCCAUUCGCUUCGCCGCCAAAUCCGGUGGCUACCGUGUCGUCGACGACGCCAUCCCCGCUAGCUUCAAGUCCGGCUUCAACUACAAGACCAGCCUCCAGGUCUAAGCAACGGAACGUACCCACACGCUUUGGAGUUGGAUGGGAAUUAUAUUAACCUCCAAAUAAUUUUUCGGGCCUGCAUGCCAACGUGCUAAUAUUUUCUUCUGUGGUCGGCCACUCUUAGACUACGGUAUAGGGCAAAUGUUUAACUGCUGAUGUCCAUCCGCUCAUGUACAUUGUAUGCAUGCAUCAUGCGUGCAUCGACUAGCGGUUCUGCCCAUUGUUGAAAUGUUUUUUUUAUCAAAUCCUGUGAUUCGAUUAAUCAAAGUGAAAAAAACAAAAAGAAUUGUCUGUAUUUCAUCGAUGAUCGGCCUUAUUGAGGAUUUGCAAAUCUAGAAUUUGAUGACUAUUUGUAAAGAAAGAAAAUCAAUGGUCACGUAAAAUCUUGCCAUUUUGACCUAUCAUAGAAUUUGAAACUAAAUUUUGAUGCUCCCCUGGCAGGCAGCAACGAAGAUAGAUUUGUGCAGCAAUAGAUGCUGGUUUGGACCCAACAAUUAGUUGCGAACCUUCACGUGAGAUCCAGAAGGGGCUGCUAAUUUAAAGAUGACAUCAACAUUUUAAGCCGAGCAAUUAUUGUUUACUCUAAAGGAAUCUCAAAAUCCUGGGAGGCCAUGUCCCCUACUCCGCUUUGAUUUACACUAAGCUCCGCCGGUGCCAACAAUGGGAAUAGAGUUGAGACAUGGCAAAGAAAGGAAGGUGUACCAUAGAAAAAGGGAGGCAUGCUGUGGACUUCUCGGCACCGGAGGCAAAUGCUAGGAAGAUAGGUUGGACAGAUCAGUAGUAGUAGAAUGGGAUUGAAGACAAUCCAACGAUAUGUUUGGGUGUAAUAAUGAGUGGGUGGUGGAUCUUUGCUCUUGGAGUCCAUUUGAUGGUUAGGGGAAUGGCAAUGAAAAAUCAAUCAAGUUGACAAUAUAUAAGGACAAAAUAAAAGUCUUUUCUUUAUAUAUCUCUCGCUGAAGAAAAAAUUACAAACUCCAUAUUCUAUGUUAGCCAUGAAGACCACGAAAUAUCUCCAUUUCUAAGAUCCUAUGGUAUAUGGUGUGCUAACCGUUGUGUGGUCUUGGAGAAGUAAGGGUUGAAGGAGGUCAUUGCACUGGACUGUUACCUAGGUGGCUAGGCCAGCUUUUUGUUCUUUUCCCAUUAAAUUAAUAUUUCCUUUUAUAUUCUACAAAUAUAAAUAUAUUUUUCUUCAAAUACUGAAAUGUCACAUUUCAGAUAUUCCUAGGAAUCCAAAAAGGGAGGGGGGUGUUAGUAUAUUGCAAUGAAGCUCCUACAUAAGCUGGUCCCUCCUUAUGCAACUUAUGCAAUGUUUGUCCGUAGCACACAAUGUACCUGAACAUUAAGAAAAAGUCCAUGUAAAAUGACCACCCAUGUCUAUUAAAUAUCAUAAGACAACAAUUUCUCUUGUAGCUCUAAAACAUCAUAAAAUGUUUCUCUCCUAAAUCAUUGCGUAAUGAAGGGAGUAUAUUAUAGUCUCGCCGUGACCGGAAUAAGCGAGGACGAGUUACUAUGUUUUUGUUUAUAAAAGCAAUAAGUAGAGAGGCGAUUUAUUGCAGAAAUAAGAAAUAAGACUAUCUUUUACUGUGUGUAUUGCGCUUAUAUUCUCCUUUUUGUUGAGAGGAGAGCAAAACAACAGAGACCACCAAAGCUCGAAUCCAUUUAUAGCAAUUGUACAUGACCUUGCUCGUUGAACAAGCCGGCCAGCGAGCUUCAUGGCGCACCGCACAUCCAUGCCCGGCUUCUUGCUCCCGCCGCCAAUAAAUACGUGAAACAUCAACCACUACACACACACAUCCAUCCCUCGCUCGAUCAAGAAACAAGCAAGGUUACGCACGCUAAUAGCUUGCUAGCUCUCCACCAACAAUGGCCUCCAGGUCCUCCAUCCUUCUCGCCGCCGCGGUGCUGGCCGUGCUGCUGGCCGUGGGCUCAUGCGGCUCCGCACUCACCUUCAAGACCGGGCCGGGCUGCAGCGCCACCCGCCUGGUCCUCAUCCCUAGCACCGCCAUCUCCGAGGUGGAGGUCAAGGAGAAGGGCGCAAGCGACUUCUCGGAGCUCAAGGAAGGCCCGACUGGCACCUGGACGCUCGACAGCAAGGCGCCGCUCAAGGGCCCCUUCUCCAUCCGCUUCGCUGCCAAGUCCGGUGGCUACCGCGUCGUCGAUGACGCCAUUCCCGCUAGCUUCAAGGCCGGAUCCGUCUACAAGACCAGCCUCCAGGUUUGAGCGACACAUCGGACGCGCGCGUAUGGCAUUGGAUGGAAAUUUAUAUUGACCUCUAAAUAAAAUUUCAAAAGAGAUCGGGCUCACAUGCCAGCGAGACAUUUUUUUCUAUGGUUUGCUGAUUGGCCGCUCUUAGGCUACAGUGUAAGGCAACUAUGGAACUGUUAGUGUCCGUUCGUGCAUGGUGCACGUAUGAUGUAUGCAUGCAUGGCGCAUGUGUCUAUAUCGAUCGGUGCUCGAGCAAAUUGCCUAAAUGUUUUCUUUCAAAUCCUAUGAUUUGAUUAAUCAAAGUGACAAAUAAAAAGGAUUGCCUGUAUUUGAUCGAAUGACUGCAUAAUUGAGGAUUUGCAAAAUCUUGUCUCAUUGAAAUUGAUUUUGACUAAUUUUCCACAUGGCACCGUUUCAAGCUUUAUAUGACCAAAGGUGCAGAACACCUUUGAAUUGUUUAGAAGCAGGAGAAACAGCAAACCUUGGACCUGAUUUGGUUAUUGAAGCUGAAGAAAAAAUUCAAAAGGUCCGUAAGCAUUUGGAGAUAGCACAAUCAAGACAGAAAAGUUAUGCCGAUAAGAGAAGACGACCUUGGGUCUUUAAAGUUGGAGAUUUUGUAUAUCUCCGAGUAUCACCUAUGAAAGGAGUGCAAUAUUUAUGAGUCAAAGGAAAGCUAGCUCCGAGGUAUAUUGGUCCAUAUGAAAUUUUAGAGCAAAAAGAUCCUGUUGCUUACAAACUCUUACUGCCAGACCAACUCUAUACACUUGGUGUGGUUCUUACUUCCUGAAGAACUUCUAGAAGAUCCAGAACUUGACUUGGAACCAUAAUUUACCUAUGAAGAAGGACCUAAUAAGAUUUUGGAUCAUAAAAUACGAGAUACUCACACCAAAAGUAUCAAGUUUUACAAGGUACAGUGGAAGAACCACACCAAGGAUGAGGCUCCUUGGGAACAGGCAGAGAACCUGGAAUCCAAGUAUUAUGAACUUUUUGAAGAGGUUUGAAAUUAGAUGGAUACAAAAGCAGUCCCCUAAUUUCUUUUAUGGGGUUGUAAAGAGAAAACUAUGACACAUUUUCCUUGAGAAGAAGUCGAGCAUUUGGAAUCUUGGGAUGAGAUUUUUUUAAUGGGGAGAGGCUGUAACACCAAGUGUGUUUCAAACCUAAAGAAGACCAUCAUUAGGUCAAUGAUGAAAUUUGGCUUACAAGGAGGUAUUAUGAGUUAAGUCAAAUUUGGGUCAAAUGUGGUAAAAAAUUCAAAUUAAAGAUUCAAAUUUCGAAAAAUUUGACCAAAUGAGGAAUCAAGAGUUGAAAGUGCUUAGAAUCCAAUGGAAUCAAGUUCGAGAGGAAAUUCAAGUCAUAAGGACCUCAAUGGCGUAGUUAAAGUUGUUGACUAGCGUCAACUUGAACAAAAUCAGGAAAAAUUCGUAAGUCUGUAAAUUUGAUCAAGUGACCAUUUUUGGAUUUGAUUUCUGAAGAAAAUCAUCGUAGAGACCCUGGAGGAUUUUGGACUACAAAUGAUCUUGGGUAUCCAGUGAGUAUUUUGGACAUGUUGUUGAUAAGGAAAAGAGACAUUUAAAUUUUAAACUAAGGCUCGUAGUUUGAAAGUUGUGCAGUUUUCAACUUAGCAAAUAAACUGAAUGAAGUCUAAAAAUGGUGCUAAGUGGGCAAAUUUGGGUCAAGAUUUUGAGAAAGUUUACAUUAUCACAUUGGACAAGAUCAUGCAAAAUGGAAUCUCCAGUCUAUGGUUAACCAAUGUCAGUAGCUCUUGUACAAGGAAAAGGAGGUUUAAGUAUUUAAAUGUGAGCUCAAAAUUUUAAUCUUGCACUAUUUUGGUGUGGACUGUUUAACCGAAGAACGUGUUCAAAGGGUUCAGUUUAAGCUCGAGUUUUGUUCAUGUUCAGAAGCUUCGAUCUCCAAAUCCGUUGAGCUAGGGAACAAAAGUCCUAUCUAUGACUUGUAGUUGAGUGAACCAUCUCCAACUUUGGUUAAAGGAUUAUGACAGAUUGGUGAUCGGUUUGUGCAGAUUUCAUUGAUAAGCAGCUAGGUUUUCCAGUGAAGGUUUGCUCUGCCACCGCCUCUUGGCCACCUACUUGCCUGCUUGCUUGCUGGCGCCGCUGCUUUACUUCGCGUUGUCAGGCAUGCAUCCCAGGUCCACAAGUAGGUCCUGUGCGGCCCACUAAGGGGCGUACUCGGACACAAUCAAGACUAGGGGGCUACGCGGGAAGAAGCGUAUCCCACUCGGACUAGUUAGGUAGGCAUAUGGAAACUACUCGGUCUACACCGAGUAGAACUCUGUAACCAUACCCGACUAGGAUUCAAACUUGUAAACCUACCCUCCCGAGUAUAUAAGGGUGGGCAGGGACCCCCCUUAAAGACAACUUCUUCAAGUCAUCCAAGCUCAAUACAACCAACUUACAAGACGUAGGGUAUUACGCGAUCUAGCGGCCCGAACCUGUCUAAAUCGCAUUCCUUGCGUCACCAUUGACUCCUUGAUUCUCGACGGCCCUUACCGCACAAAAGACCACCUAGGGUACCCCCUAGGUGGGUUGCCGGUAUAAAACACCGACAGCUGGCGCGCCAGGUAGGGGAAGUCGUCGAGUUUCUCUAUGCGAGCUCGAUGGCAGCUGUCGUUAUCAAGCAUGUUUUCACCUUCGAGGCAGGCGCAACUUUUGUUUUCGGAUCUUGGCUCCGUAUCGCUGACGACACUGGAUCGUUUCAAUGCCAAAUCAUCAACAUCCAGGAGAAGAAAUCUCUCGACAAAAGCCUUUCUCAGCUGAAAACAGAGGAUUCGGUCAGGAAAAACCAAAAUUUCAAAAUCAACAACACCGAGUUCGACUACGCUGCGGACUCGACCCCAGUUCGGACUAGUCACUCCCAGUCAUUUCACAAAUCGACUUCGACUCCAAAACGGUUCCCAUACGGACUCCGCAAUACAGCCGAGGUCUACUAAGGUCUCCUCACUCGAACUCAACUCGAACACGGGGAAGACAAAGGCGACGACUCCGACUCGGACUACGUCCCAGAGAUCCCCCUAUCAGGACUAGCCCAAGGUCUGGUAAUAACUUCAACAUCACAAGGCAGAUUCGUUCACUGGUUAGGAAUGAGACCAUCUCUCCUUGCCCGCAACUACGAGUCACGCCUCGUCGCUCAUAUAGACAACCUCCCGUACCAGGAAGGCAUCCCACUCACUUCAAGCCGCGAGGAAAGUUUCACAGAAAUUGCAACAUCAAGCUCUGGAAGCUACUACCCAAACAGAGAAGUCUUUAUCAUUACUCAAAAUAACAACGCGGGUACUAGCCAACAGAGAACCCCUCGACGGAUAGCACAACUCGACAACGUCUCAGAGGACGAGUCAUCAGCUAACGUCCCACAAGAUGAAACUUCCGAUCAAAGAAACCAAAGAAGGAUGCGCAAUAUUACUCAGGCUGAACAACGACAAAUGCUGGCUACAAAAAUUCCCAUCACAAACCUUGAAAGAGCAUUGACGCAGUACAGGCUCAAGAGCACAACACUCCACUCGCGGCAAUUGCCUCAAUCAAUCUUAUAUCAACUCUCAUAUCUCAAGAUAGAGAUAACGAAAUCACAGCUCAACUUGCACAGCGAGGCAACGGACUAAUUGCACAACUCGCAGAACAAGGUUACAAGCUACUCAAUAAGGAAUCACCAAUCCCAUCUUUUCCUCGCAUUACAGCUCAUCAAGAGGGCAGUAGAGGUGCUACAAUCAACAAUGGCUUCCCUGAAGCACAAAGAAAUAACAACGAAGUAGUCAACCAACCAUUGCAACAUAGCCAAGGACCGAGCAAAAAUGAAGCUCCAGUGCGACAAAAAGAUGUUGGAGAGGUCAGCUGCACCAAUUCCGCAAAAAGUCCUCACCAUGUCCGGAAAAAUCAUGAAGUAUCGCAUUUCAGUGAUCUACGAGAAAUAAUCAAUAGUCGACGCGAGCAAGAAGUCGACAAUUACAACCACUUUCCUUCCUUCACAACUCAGGUAAUGAGGACAAGACUGCCCGAAAACUUCAAGCCAACAGGAAUCACUAAGUAUGAUGGCAAGCAAGACCCAAUUAAAUGGCUCCGAUGUUACUCGUUGGCAGUCCAGGCAGCCGGAGGCAAUAACGGCACCAAAGUCAUCCAUUUUCCCAUAUGCAUGGAACCCGCACCUCUAACAUGGCUUGGGUCGCUCAAGCCUAGAUCAAUUGACUCUUACCAAGACUUGACGAAAGCUUUCACCAAAAACUAUGCCGGCUCCAUGACUAGACCAGGCAACAACAUCGACCUAAGUUAAGUAAAAUAGAAAGAAGGCGAAACAAUACGGGACUACUUACGAUGAUUCUUCGAAAAGAAGGCCACUAUAGUCAACAUUUCAGAAACAGUCAUCAUCGAGUGUUUCCAAAAUGGUCUCUAUGAUCGACGAACAUACCAAGACUUCGGCAGACGAUGACCAACCACUGUCAAAGAUCUCAAAGUCAUGGUGCAACAAUAGGAAGACGAAGAAGAUAAAGAGCGAGAACGGUUCGGCUCUCAUCGCAACCGCAGGCGCGACAAUAACAACCAUGACCAGGAUAGAAACAACCACAGCGAUACUCAAAACAACUUUUCGAGCAAUCAAAAUCGCAAACAAAAACCCGACAACACAAUCGCUUCCAUGACUAACUCAGGGAAGAAGGGAUCCCGCAAAACUGAUGAUGGGCCAAGCUUCACCGAACUACUCAAAAAACAGCGCCCAUUGCACCCGACUAGCAAACACUUAGAAAUAGACUGCUACAGCAUGCGCCGAGUAAUGCAAGAUUUGCCCGCACCACCACCUCCCAUGGAGUACAACAAGAAAAAAGAUAAAGGCAAAAACAAGGUCCACAACGAUGAAGAAGGAGAAGGCGACUUCCAGACUACCUCCAAAACAGUCAACGUCAUUUUUGGUGGAAUCCUAGGCACCACAUCCAAGCGGUCCAGUAAACUGGUACUCAGGGAAAUCAUGGCCAUCGAACCAACAGAUCCAACACCGCUAAAAUGGUCAGAGGUACCCAUAACCUUCAGCAGAAGGGACCAAUGGACAAAAUUCUCAAAACUAGGUCGAUUUCCCCUAGUACUUGAUCCUGUUGUUGCAGGCUCAAAACUGACAAAAGUACUCAUUGAUGGCGGAAGCGGACUCAACGUCAUUUUCACCAAAACAAUACGGAAAAUGUGUCUUGACGUCACGGACAUGCCCAUUCCAACAGACUCACCCUUCUACGGAAUAGUACCAGGAAACGCAGCCAUACCACUAGGACAAGUCGUCCUGCCAGUCAUUUUCAGAACUAAGGAACACUACCGAACCGAGUACAUUAGAUUUGAAGUCACCUACUUCGAGACAUCUUACCACGCCAUACUCGGGAGACCAGCUCUAGCUAAGUUUAUGGCUAUACCACACUACAAUUACCUGGUACUCAAAAUGCCAGAGCCCAAGGGAGAACUAACGCUAUGAAGAGAUUUACGGCGAUCCUACGAGUGCGACACUGAAGCAGUGGAGAUUGCCGCAACCUCUCAAGCACCCAGCCCUAUGCAACAAGUUUUCUUAGCUUCAAAGAAACUUCACCCAACAGAACUUGAAAUACCAGAAAACAAGUCAGGGUCAGCAAAGGUGAAGCCAACAAAUGAGAAAGACUUCAAAACAGUUGAUCUCCAGACCGGCGACUCUUCUAAGACAGCUUUGAUUGGAACAGGGCUAGACCCUAAAUAGGAAAUCGCGCUCAUCAGUUUUCUUCGGGCAAACCACGAUAUCUUCACUUGGAAACCAGCUGACAUGCCUGGUGUGCCCAAGGAACUGAUUGAGCACUCUCUAAACGUUAAUCCCAAAGCUACCCCAAAACGACAGCGCCUCCGUAGGCUCGCCCAAGAUAGACGAGAAGCGAUCAAAAAAGAGCUAGCCAAACUACUCGUAGCAGGGUUCAUCAAAAAAGUCUUUCACCCUGACUGGCUAGCCAAUCCUGUACUUGUUCGCAAGAAAAACAACGAAUGGAGAAUGUGCGUCGAUUACACCAACCUCAACAAACAUUGUCCAAAGGACCCCUUUGAACUACCCAGGAUCGACCAAGUAGUCGACUCUACAGCUGGGUGCGAUUUGCUAUGCUUUCUCAACUGUUACUCGGGUUACCAUCAGAUAAGCCUCAAAGAAGAAGAUCAAGCUAAGACAGCCUUCAUCACUCCAUUUGGGGCCUUUUGCUACAAAAUAAUAUCAUUUGGAUUAAAAAAUGCGGGAGCAACUUACCAACGAGCUAUACAGAUGUGCUUCGAAAAGCAUUUGCAUCGUAACGUAGAAGCUUACGUAGACGACGUAGUCAUCAAAACAAGAAAUCAAGAGGAUCUAAUUGUCGAUUUGGAGGAAACCUUCUCAAGCCUACGAGCUUUCCGAUGGAAGCUUAACCCUACCAAAUGCAUUUUUGGAGUACCUUCCGGCAAACUACUCAAGUUCAUCAUUAGCCAUCGCGGAAUUGAGGCUAACCCGAAGAAAAUAUCUGCCAUAACAAACAUGCACGCACUGGCUAGCAUGAAGGAUGUGCAGAAACUCAUGGGCUGCAUGGCAGCCCUUAAUCGAUUCAUCUCAAGACUUGGAGAAUGAGGACUACCCUUCUUCAAGCUUCUCAAAUGGUAGGACAAGUUUAAAUGGAUAGAAGAGGCAGACAAACAUUGACGCAACUUAAAGACUUUCUGUCAAAACCACCAAUCCUUACUGCUCCAUCUCCAAAUCAGAACUUGCUCCUAUACAUAGCGGCUACUACUCACGUCAUCAGCACCGUAGUAGUAAUCGAGCGGUCUGAGCCAGGCCAUGUUUACAAAGUCCAAAGACCCAUAUACUUCGUCAGUGAAGUACUCUCAGACUCCAAAACUCGGUACCCGCCAAUACAAAACCUACUCUACGUGAUUCUGCUCACUUCACGAAAGCUGCGACACUAUUUUCAAGAGCACUGCAUUACAGUCAUCACCAACUUCCCGCUCGGUGAAAUCCUCCACAAUGGAGAUGCCACAGGUAGAAUUUCUAAAUGGGCAGUAGAGCAUGGAGCUCUAUCUUUGGACUUCAAACCAAGAACAACCAUCAAAUCUCAGGCUUUGGUCGACUUCAUAGCUGAAUGGACAGAAAACCAAGUGCCAACACCAGUGGAGAGGCCAGAGCACUGGGUAAUGUACUUUGACGGUUCCCUCAAACUCGAAGGAGCCGGCGAAGGCAUGCUCCUCAUUUUCCCAAAAGGAGACCAACUCAAAUACGAACUACAAAUCUUUUGGGAAGUCUCAAACAAUGAAGCUGAGUACAAAGCACUGCUACACGGCCUUCGUCUUGCAAUCUCCCUCGGAAUCAAAAGACUACUCGUAUACGGCGACUCACUAGUCGUUAUAAACCAGGUCAAUGAUGAAUGGGAUCGAAACAAGGACAACAUGGACGCUUACUGCAAAGAAUUCCGCAAACUGGAAAAUAAGUUUUCAGGCUUGGAAUUUCAUCAUGUCGUCCGCAACAACAACGUAGCCGCUGACGUAUUAUCAAAAAUGGGCUCGACUCGUGCAGAAGUUCCAGCAGGAAUUUUUGUACACGAACUACAUAAACCGUCCAUACUAGAACAUGUUACACCACCAGUGGUCAAAACUACAUAAGUUACUUGGGAAAUUAUGAUGAUAGAAGUCGACUGGAGGACACCCUUCAUUGACUACAUCAAAGACCAUAAGUUACCAUCUAAUAAAAAUCAAGCUGAGCAAGUUUCCCGAUGAGGAAAAAACUACGUAUACAAGCUCUACAAGAAAAGUGCAUCAUCAGGGGUGCUCAUGAAGUGUGUCACCCGAGAACAUGGCCAAGAAAUCAUAGAAGAAAUUCACAAAAGAAUCUGUGGCAACCAUGCAUCUUCACGAACGAUAGUAGGCAAGGCUUUCCGAGCAGGCUUCUACUGGCCCAUGGCGUUGGCAGAUGCAAAACAAUUGGUCCGAAAAUGCCAAGGUUGUCAAUUCUUCACUAAAUAACAACACGUCCCUGCCUACAAACUAGUCACAAUCCCUCCAACAUGGUCUUUCUCUUCCUGGGGGCUAGACAUGAUAGGAGCACUGCCAACUGCGCCAGGAGGUUUCAACCGAGUACUCAUGGCCAUCGACAAAUUCACCAAAUGGAUCGAGGUCAAACCAGACACUUGCCCCAAGGCAGACUGAGUCCUCGACUUCUUGGAUGAAAUCGUACACCGUUACGGUUUUCCAAACAGAAUCAUCACAGACCUGGGAUCCAACUUCAACAACCAUGACUUCUGGGAAUACUGUGAGAAUAGUGGAAUUGAUGUCCGCUACCGCCUUGCCACCGAAGCAUUCGUACGCGUCGCGCACAUGCUAUAGAGCCAUAGCUGGCCUCCUUACUGCCUUCCCUGGCCCAUAAAGAUCCAAGCCACCACUGCUAUCUCUUUCUUUCUCUCUACUGCAAGAACACAAGCCGCCUCGCGACCGAUUCCUCGAACCUCGCUGCCUUCCAAUCCACCUCCUCUCGUCCACAGCUCCACCAACCACCCAACUCCACUUCCGGCACCUCAAUAGAUACUCCUUUGAUAUCAUCAUGGACAAACAUUGUAAAAUUAUUUUUUACCGAGAUCAUGGACAAGCGUUGCAGAAGGAAUCGAGUAUAUAACAAUCUCCAUAGGAGCAAAGGUUGAUUUAUUGUUUUUAGUUAGUCUAUAUAAAAAAGAAGUAGAGGCUAGAGAGGCAAUGAGGACCGCAUGCCUAUUCUUUUCUUCUCUUUUCUUUUUUGAGAGGAGGGUAUAGAAAGAAGAAUAGAGAUUAGGGUGGCGAUGAGGACUGCAUGCUAUUCUGUUCUUCUCUUUUCCCUUUUUGAGAGGAGUGCAUGCCCUGCGCUUCUUCUUUUGUGUGAGACCAACACAAUCGGGACUACCAAGCUCGGAUUUUAGCAAUUGAGUACACGUGUCGGUCCUUGAACAAGCUGACCAGCGAUGUCCGUGGCGCACCGUACGUCCAAUGCUCAGCUUUCUUCCCUCCACCACCCAUAAAUACGUACCCAGCUGCAACUCGAUCACCACACACACGCAUCCCCCCUCAAUCCAUCAAAGAAACAAGCAAGGUCACACCUCGCUACCUCGCCACAACAAUGGCCUCCAGGUCCUCCAUCCUGCUUGCUGCGGCUGCGCUGGCAGCUCUGCUAGCCAUCGGCUCAUGUGGCUCCGCGCUCACCUUUAAGACUGGCCCCGGCUGCAGCGCCACCCGCCUGGUCCUCAUCCCCAGCACUGCUAUUUCCGAGGUGGAGGUAAAGGAGAAGGACGCCAGCGAC